UGCAGAAGCGAGAGCUCUCUCUCUCUCUCGAUCUCUCGAGCUACCUCGCUAAUCAAUCAAUCGAAGGGAAACAAUGGCGAAUCAUCGAAGCUCGCGAACUGGAUUGAUGCGGAGUUUCAGUUUUUCUUUUAGAGUUUUGGCCUCCGCCAUUACGGUUGCGGUGUUACUCUUCUUCACUGUUUCCUUCCUCUUCACUUCCCACUCUCACUCUUCCACCGACCUCCGCCACUUUGGCCUCAGCAACGUACCUUACGGAUUUGGAUCCGGUAGAAGAUCGGUUUUGGCACUGAAGUCGGAUCCAUUAAAGCCGCGAUUGGACCAGAUCCGAAAACAGGCUGACGACCACCGAUCUCUCGCCCUCGCAUACGCAUCCUAUGCGCGGAAGCUCAAGCUGGAGAACUCAAAGCUCGUUAGAGUUUUUGCUGAUCUCUCGCGAAACUACACCGAUCUCCUUAGCAAGCCUGAGUAUCGGGCUCUGUUCGAGUUGGAUUCGC
rnacentral:misc_RNA from 1 species